GAUGAACGCUGGCGGCGUGCUUAACACAUGCAAGUCGAACGGAAAGGCCCAAGCUUGCUUGGGUACUCGAGUGGCGAACGGGUGAGUAACACGUGGGUGAUCUGCCUGCACUUCGGGAUAAGCCUGGGAAACUGGGUCUAAUACCGGAUAGGACCACAUUUUGGAUGGUGUGGUGGAAAGUUUUUCGGUGUGGGAUGAGCUCGCGGCCUAUCAGCUUGUUGGUGGGGUAAUGGCCUACCAAGGCGUCGACGGGUAGCCGGCCUGAGAGGGUGUACGGCCACAUUGGGACUGAGAUACGGCCCAGACUCCUACGGGAGGCAGCAGUGGGGAAUAUUGCACAAUGGGCGCAAGCCUGAUGCAGCGACGCCGCGUGGGGGAUGACGGCCUUCGGGUUGUAAACUCCUUUCGCUAGGGACGAAGCGCAAGUGACGGUACCUGGAGAAGAAGCACCGGCUAACUACGUG
rnacentral:rRNA from 1 species